rnacentral:rRNA from 1 species
UGAGGAAUAUUGGUCAAUGGACGUAAGUCUGAACCAGCCAAGUAGCGUGCAGGAUGACGGCCCUAUGGGUUGUAAACUGCUUUUGUAUGGGGAUAAAGUCAAUCACGUGUGAUUGUUUGCAGGUACCAUACGAAUAAGGACCGGCUAAUUCCGUGCCAGCAGCCGCGGUAAUACGGAAGGUUCGGGCGUUAUCCGGAUUUAUUGGGUUUAAAGGGAGCGUAGGCCGGAGAUUAAGUGUGUUGUGAAAUGUAGACGCUCAACGUCUGACUUGCAGCGCAUACUGGUUUCCUUGAGUACGCACAACGUUGGCGGAAUUCGUCGUGUAGCGGUGAAAUGCUUAGAUAUGACGAAGAACUCCGAUUGCGAAGGCAGCUGACGGGAGCGCAACUGACGCUGAAGCUCGAAGGUGCGGGUAUCGAACAGGAUUAGAUACCCUGGUAGUCCGCACAGUAAACGAUGGAUGCCCGCUGUUGGUACCUAGUAUCAGCGGCUAAGCGAAAGCAUUAAGCAUCCCACCUGGGGAGUACGCCGGCAACGGUG